rnacentral:rRNA from 1 species
UAAUACGAAGGGGGCUAGCGUUGCUCGGAAUUACUGGGCGUAAAGGGCGCGUAGGCGGCUCUGUUAGUCAGGCGUGAAAGUCCUGGGCUCAACCUGGGAACUGCGCUUGAUACGGCAGGGCUAGAGGAUGGAAGAGGGUCGCGGAAUUCCCAGUGUAGAGGUGAAAUUCGUAGAUAUUGGGAAGAACACCGGUGGCGAAGGCGGCGACCUGGUCCAUUACUGACGCUGAGGCGCGACAGCGUGGGGAGCAAACAGGAUUAGAUACCCUGGUAGUCCACGCCGUAAACGAUGUGCGCUGGAUGUUGGGUGGCCUAGCCACUCAGUGUCGUAGCUAACGCGGUAAGCGCACCGCCUGGGGAGUACGGCCGCAAGGUUG